UUACAGAUCCAGGCCUGUCUUCAGAAAGCAAAAUUAUCUCUCAAUAUACCUCAGAAACAAAGAUGUCUCCAUCAAGCUUAUACUCACAGCAAGUGCUAUGUUCUUCAAUACCUUUAUCAAAAAAUGUGCACAGUUUUUUCAGUGCCUUCUGCACAGAAGAGAAUAUUGAACAGAGUAUUUCAUAUCUUGAUCAGGAAUUGACAACUUUUGGUUUUCCUUCAUUAUAUGAAGAAGCCAAAGGUAAAGAGACAAAGAGAGAAUUAAACAUAGUAGCUGUUUUAAAUUGUAUGUAUGAGCUACUUGUACUUCAGCGGAAGAACCUUCUAGCUCAGGAAAAUGUGGAAACACAGAAUUUGAAACUGGGAAGUGACAUGGACCAUCUACAGAACUGCUACACAAAACUAAAGGAACAACUGGAAACCUCCAGAAGGGAAAUGAUCGGGCUUCAGGAAAGAGACAGACAAUUACAAUGCAAGAACAGGUGUUUGCAUCAGCUAUUGAAAAACGAGAAAGACGAGGUACAAAAAUUGCAAAACAUAAUUGCCAGUCGGGCUACUCAGUAUAAUCAUGAUAUGAAGAGAAAAGAGCGUGAAUAUAAUAAACUGAAGGAGCGUCUGCAUCAGCUUGUUAUGAACAAGAAAGAUAAAAAAAUAGCCAUGGAAGUUUUGAAUUAUGUGGGGAGAGCUGAUGGCAAGAGAGGCUCCUGGAGGACUGGUAAAAUGGAAGCCAGGAAUGAAGAUGAAAUGUACAAAAUUCUCUUGAAUGAUUAUGAAUAUUGUCAGAAACAAAUCCUAAUGGAAAAUGCUGAACUUAAGAAGGUUCUUCAGCAAAUGAAAAAGGAAAUGAUUUCUCUUCUUUCUCCCCAAAAGAAGAAACCCAGAGAAAGAGCAGAUGAUAGUACAGGAACUGCCAUCUCUGAUGUUGAAGAAGAUGCUGGGGAACUGAGCAGAGAGAAUAUGUGGGACCUUUCCUGUGAAACUGUGAGAGAGCAGCUCACAAACAGCAUCAGAACACAGUGGAGGAUUUUGAAAAGUCACGUAGAAAAGCUUGACAACCAAGUUUCAGAGGUACACUUAGAAGGUUUUAAUGAUGAAGAUGUAAUCUCACGACAAGACCAUGAACAAGAAACCGAAAAACUUGAGUUAGAAAUUCAGCAAUGUAAAGAAAUGAUUAAAACUCAGCAGCAACUUUUACAGCAGCAGCUUGCUACUGCAUGUGAUGAUGAUACCACUUCACUAUUACGAGACUGUUAUUUCUUGGAAGAAAAGGAACGCCUCAAAGAAGAGUGGUCCCUUUUUAAAGAGCAAAAAAAGAAUUUUGAGAGAGAAAGACGAAGCUUUACAGAGGCUGCUAUUCGCCUAGGAUUGGAGAGAAAGGCAUUUGAGGAAGAAAGAGCCAGUUGGUUAAAGCAACAGUUUUUAAAUAUGACUACCUUUGACCACCAGAACUCAGAAAAUGUGAAACUUUUCAGUGCCUUCUCAGGAAGUUCUGAUCGGGACAAUCUUAUAGCACACUCGAGGCAACGACAGAAGAAGCCUCACGGUGUGUCCAGUGGGUCUCCAGUUUGCACAUCUAAACUUACUAAAUCUCUUCCGGCUUCACCUUCGACUUCAGACUUUUGCCAGCCACGUUCCUGUGUAUCUGAACACAGUUCAGUCAAUGUACUGAACAUAUCUCCUGAAGAAACCAAGCCAAAUCAGGUUGGAAGAGAAUGUACCAAUCAGAAGUGGAGCGUGGUGUCAAGACCUGGCUCGCAGGAAGGUUGCUAUGGUGGAUGCUCCUUGACCUACACAAACUUUCACGUCGAG